UCCGAUAUGGUGUAGUGGUUAACAUCGUCCGCUUUCAAAAGGAGUUAUUCUCCUAAGAUGGUCCGGACAGCCCCGGGUUCGAUUCCCGGUAUCGGAA
rnacentral:tRNA from 1 species